UUUCGUCACAUUGGAUAAUCGGAAAGCAUAUGCAAAUUUGUGAGUAUACUCGUAUUUCCCCCUUUUUACUUUUACCACUUUUGGGGUGUAACAUGUUUACCUAUUAACUUACACAUGAACACUUUGUUAAACACAUGAACGUUCCUAUAACAUGCUUGUAUACGUGAUGACUUGAUACUUUAAACUUGGGUUAUUCUUAUGUGUUGAACUUAUCAUUAACUUCGUACGAGCCAAACCUUGACAUAUGUAGCGCUAUAGGAUUAACGACCCGCCCGUAAACUUGAGGUUAUGUCUUGAGCAUAUUGCGUUUUCUUGGUUUGAUAUGUUAGACACAUGCCAUAUUUAAAUGUUUAUCUUGAAUCACAUGCUUGCUAUGAGGAAUUGUUCAAACUUAUCUUUUGCUAUGUUGAGGACGAUGAUGCUAUGAAAUGAAGUAGCGUUGAUGCCUAGAUACACAUAUAGACGUUAGGGUUUAAAAUGUUGUAUCAAAAUUUUGUUAUGUUAUCAUGUUGUUUUGUUAAACUUGUCGUAUUUGAAUUUCUUGUAAUGUUGACUAUUUGAAGUUAUGAAAUGAAAUGAAAUUUGGAUU
rnacentral:lncRNA from 1 species